UAAGCUUUGUUGGGCAUUCUCUGGUGAUUUUCCGGCAACCUCAGAUUGCGUUUGAUGGUUCAGUAUCUACAAAAUAUGAUGGAUCAAUGUGUUAAAUAGGGAGUGCACGCUAGUAGUAUUAAAGAAUUGAAGAUGCCCAGAUGCCCAUGAAAGAAGCACAAUGAAGUUAAUGAUGAGUUCGAUGUUUUUUGGCUGAGAAGAUUAGGAUAUUGACAGCCAUAAACUUUAGAGUAAAUUGUUAGGACCAGAAAGUUGAUGUGUAAAUACUCAAUAACUUGUAUUAGGAUUUUGUAUGUAAAUAAGUGUAAAGUAGGGACUUCAUGUUGUGAAACACAUGCUUUAGCAACAACACCCAAAUUAGACGCUUCUGGCUGUAAACGCACCAAACGUUCAUGAAUUGUUUGUGAACUUGUGCCGUAUGAAGUUCGUUUAUGUUCGUUUAUUUAAUAAAUGAACAAACAUGGACACAAAUUUUUGUUCAUU
rnacentral:lncRNA from 1 species